CAUGCCGCGUGUGUGAUGAAGGCCUUUUGGUUGUAAAGCACUUUAAGCAGUGAAGAAGACUCUUCGGUUAAUACCCGGGGACGAUGACAUUAGCUGCAGAAUAAGCACCGGCUAACGUUCUGUGCCAGCAGCCGCGGUCAUACAGAGGGUGCAAGCGUUAUAUCGGAAUUACUGGGCGUAAAGCGAGCGUAGGUGGCUUGAUAAGUCAGAUGUGAAAUCCCCGGGCUUAACCUGGUGAACUGCAUCUGAAACUGUUAGGCUAGAGUAGGAGAGAGGGAAGUUGAAUUUCAGGAGUAGCGGUGAAAUGCGUUGAGAUUGAAGGAAUACCGAAGGCGAAGGCAGCUUCCUGGCAUCAUACUGACACUGAGGCUCGAAAGCGUGGGUAGCAAACAGGAUUAGAUACCCUCAUAGUCCACGCCGUUAACGAAGUCAACUA
rnacentral:rRNA from 1 species